rnacentral:piRNA from 1 species
UGUGAUUGGUAUCUGCAUGAGCAAAAGACC